ACAUGAAUCAUCUGGGGAUCUUGUUAAAAUGCAGAUUCCGAGUCUAGAGGACUGAGGACGGAGCUGUGAUUCUGCAUUUCUAACGAGUUCCCAGGCGAUGUUGAG
rnacentral:pre_miRNA from 1 species